UAUAAAUAAAAAAUUAAUUUUAUAAUAAAAAUAAUUUAUAACGUUAACCUGAUAUUAUUGAAAUUAUAUUAAUAUUCCUUUGUUUUAUGUGUGUAAUGAUCUUACCCAUAUUUUUAACAGGAAUGCCCAUCUCUGAUGAAGAAACUAGUAACAAGGAGUCAAAUCAAAAUGAUGGACCAGCAAAAGAUAUAGAAAUUGAUACAUCUGAUUCUUCAGAUGAGAAUGAUGGACCAUUAAAAAGUUUACUACGCGAAAUGUUAAAUGUCUCAAAUGAGGAAAAUUAUCCCAAAACAUGCAAGUGCUUCUUGUUAAUUUUGAGGAACAUGUUAAUAAAAAUGGUAAAAUUAGUGCUUUCAAAGCGAAUGAAAUUUUAAACAAUUUAAAUGGUACCAAUAUUGAAAGAAACGCUGAGGACUUCAAUUUAGGAGAUGAUGAAAUGAUUGAUAUCUCAGAAAAACUUAUGUUCAUCUUUAAUUCUUUGAUACUUUUUGAAGAAGCUUUUUACAAACUAUUACGUAAUGGCGACGAAAAAAAUAAUGGCUUCGUGUCAAGAGAGUAUGCAAAAGAUGUCAUUUUGAAAUGCGAAUUGUUUGGUGGCCGAUUAAAAGGCUUUCCCCUUAAUAAGCUACUCGAAAAGUAUACAAAUGAGCAAGAUCAAUUCAAUUACUUAGAGAUGAAAAAAAAUUCAUUAGAUGAUGUUGAGGUAGAUAAAUCUAAUGUUUAUUCUUAUAAUUAUGAGAAAAAAAAAUGGGUACGUAAAUACAAAUUUACUCCUACUCAUUGUUUGUAAAAAUAUAGUAAUACUUUAUUGAUAAUAAUUGUUCCAUAAUAUAGUUAUUUUAAAUGUUUAAAUUAAUUUUCAUAAAUUUAUAUUAGAUUUUUAAUAUUCAGAGAAAAUAUGUAUAAAUUGAGAUUUAUUAUCACAAUACUAUGUCAAAGUGACGAUAUAAAUACAAAAUCAAACAUAUCAUUAUUCUAAUAACAGAACUCUAAAAAAUAAUUUUGAAAACUAGCGAAAGAAUGGGACAAUUUUAUGUUAUUUAAUGCUUAUUAACCUUUACACAAAACUCCCUUAUAAUGCUAGUAUACCUACAAUGAUGAUUUUUUUUUUAACUUAAUCUUUGUGUUUUAUUCAUGAAAAUAUAAAAUUGGAAAAAUUAGUAUACAUGUGUAUUAUUUAUACAAAUAUAAUGUGUUUUAAAUUGUAGUAUCACAUUUUAAUAUAUGUAAUAAUUAAUACUUAUAUUUAAUAAAAUGUAUCACCAAAUCAGUGUUCCCCCGUGGAUAAGAUGAAUAAUAAAAUAAUACCCUUACACAAGAUUUAACCACCCUUUUACGCAUUUCAUAAAACGCCCACGUAAAAAAUUCUAUCACAUUAAGAAAUCAAAUACAGCAAAAAAUAUUUCAAGAAUCUCACCAGAGAUCGCUAAACCAGUUUGCGGGCUAUAAAAAGGCCAUUUUCACCAAAUUCGGGCGCUUCUCUUACGGUGGUUCUUUUAGGAGGUGCUUCUUUUAUGGUUUGUUUCUUCUACGGUGGUUAUAUAGGGUUUCUGAAUAUCUCUCUAGCGGACACUGGGAAGCCUUGCCAUUCUAUCUCUGCAUCUCUACGGCUCUCUGGAAUUCUGGAACUCUGAACCAAGAUACAUAAAGUAAAUGUGCGUGAGUGUAUGUUUCAUUCUUAGUUACAAUUCUAUAUAAAAUCUGCACUAUUUUUACCCUCUUUCGUAAUUACUGAAAAUAUUACACAUCUUAUUUUUGGUCGAAUACUUUUGGUGAUAUAAAUAUUCUA